rnacentral:lncRNA from 1 species
UGAACCGAACUUUGAGCUAUGAUGGUUAUUCUGUUCAUUUAUUUUUUUAUAUUUCUACAAUAGUAAAAGAGAUGUUUGUUUUAUAUAAAAAAAAGAUCAGUAACACUCUUUAGUCACUGGGUAUAUACAUUUAGAAAACGAAAAAAGAGACUUAACAGGUAUAUAUACUAAUAUAUAUUGAAAAAAAACCAAAAAACCCAAAC